CCUACGGGUGGCAGCAGUGAGGAAUAUUGGUCAAUGGGCGCUAGCCUGAACCAGCCAAGUAGCGUGAAGGAUGACUGCCCUAUGGGUUGUAAACUUCUUUUAUAUGGGAAUAAAGUGCAGUAUGUAUACUGCUUUGCAUGUACCUUAUGAAUAAGGAUCGGCUAACUCCGUGCCAGCAGCCGAGGUAAUACGGAGGAUUCGAGCGUUAUCCGGAUUUAUUGGGUUUAAAGGGAGCGUAGGCUGGUUGUUAAGCCAGUUGUGAAAGGUUGCGGCUCAACCGUAAAAUUGCAGUUGAUACUGGCAGCCUUGAGUACAGUAGAGGUAGGCGGAAUUCGUGGUGUAGCGGUGAAAUGCUUAGAUAUCACGAAGAACUCCGAUUGCGAAGGCAGCCUGCUGGACUGUAACUGACGCUGAUGCUCGAAAGUGUGGGUAUCAAACAGGAUUAGAUACCCGUGUAGUC
rnacentral:rRNA from 1 species